GUGCUUGCUUCAGGAGUACAUAGAGUAAAAACUGGAAUAAUAGAGAGAUAAGCAUGGCCCCUGUCCAAGGAUUACAUGCAAAUUUGUGAAGCAUUCCAUAUUUUU